rnacentral:rRNA from 2 species
CGAGGCACUACGGUGCUGAAGCAACAAAUGCCCUGCUUCCAGGAAAAGCCUCUAAGCAUCAGGUAACACGAAAUCGUACCCCAAACCGACACAGGUGGUCAGGUAGAGAAUACCAAGGCGCUUGAGAGAACUCGGGUGAAGGAACUAGGCAAAAUGGUGCCGUAACUUCGGGAGAAGGCACGCUGACACGUAGGUGAAGUGAUUUACUCAUGGAGCUGAAGUCAGUCGAAGAUACCAGCUGGCUGCAACUGUUUAUUAAAAACACAGCACUGUGCAAACACGAAAGUGGACGUAUACGGUGUGACGCCUGCCCGGUGCCGGAAGGUUAAUUGAUGGGGUCAGCGUAAGCGAAGCUCCUGAUCGAAGCCCCGGUAAACGGCGGCCGUAACUAUAACGGUCCUAAGGUAGCGAAAUUCCUUGUCGGGUAAGUUCCGACCUGCACGAAUGGCGUAAUGAUGGCCAGGCUGUCUCCACCCGAGACUCAGUGAAAUUGAACUCGCUGUGAAGAUGCAGUGUACCCGCGGCAAGACGGAAAGACCCCGUGAACCUUUACUAUAGCUUGACACUGAACAUUGAGCCUUGAUGUGUAGGAUAGGUGGGAGGCUUUGAAGUGUGGACGCCAGUCUGCAUGGAGCCGACCUUGAAAUACCACCCUUUAAUGUUUGAUGUUCUAACGUGGACCCGUAAUCCGGGUUGCGGACAGUGUCUGGUGGGUAGUUUGACUGGGGCGGUCUCCUCCUAAAGAGUAACGGAGGAGCACGAAGGUUGGCUAAUCCUGGUCGGACAUCAGGAGGUUAGUGCAAUGGCAUAAGCCAGCUUGACUGCGAGCGUGACGGCGCGAGCAGGUGCGAAAGCAGGUCAUAGUGAUCCGGUGGUUCUGAAUGGAAGGGCCAUCGCUCAACGGAUAAAAGGUACUCCGGGGAUAACAGGCUGAUACCGCCCAAGAGUUCAUAUCGACGGCGGUGUUUGGCACCUCGAUGUCGGCUCAUCACAUCCUGGGGCUGAAGUAGGUCCCAAGGGUAUGGCUGUUCGCCAUUUAAAGUGGUACGCGAGCUGGGUUUAGAACGUCGUGAGACAGUUCGGUCCCUAUCUGCCGUGGGCGCUGGAGAACUGAGGGGGGCUGCUCCUAGUACGAGAGGACCGGAGUGGACGCAUCACUGGUGUUCGGGUUGUCAUGCCAAUGGCACUGCCCGGUAGCUAAAUGCGGAAGAGAUAAGUGCUGAAAGCAUCUAAGCACGAAACUUGCCCCGA